rnacentral:rRNA from 1 species
GGGCCUGCGUCUCAUUAGCUAGUUGGUAGGGUAAUGGCCUACCAAGGCAACGAUGAGUAGCUGGUCUGAGAGGAUGAUCAGCCACACUGGAACUGAAACACGGUCCAGACUCCUACGGGAGGCAGCAGUGGGGAAUAUUGCGCAAUGGGCGAAAGCCUGACGCAGCAACGCCGUGUGAGGGAUGAAGGCUUUCGGGUCGUAAACCUCUGUCGGAAGGGAAGAACGGGCAUUGGUCUAAUAGGCCUUUGUUUUGACGGUACCUUUAGAGGAAGCACCGGCUAACUCCGUGCCAGCAGCCACGGUAAUACGGAGGGUGCAAGCGUUAUUCGGAAUUACUGGGCGUAAAGCGCACGUAGGCCGCUUUGUAAGUCAGGGGUGAAAUCCCACGGCUCAACCGUGGAACUGCCUUUGAAACUGCAGAGCUUGAAUCCUGGAGAGGGUGGCGGAAUUCCUGGUGUAGGAGUGAAAUCCGUAGAUAUCAGGAGGAACACCGGUGGCGAAGGCGGCCACCUGGACAGGCAUUGACGCUGAGGUGCGAAAGUGUGGGGAGCAAACAGGAUUAGAUACCCUGGUAGUCCACACCGUAAACGAUGGAUACUAGAUGCCGGAG